GACUACCAGGGUAUCUAAUCCUGUUUGAUACCCACACCUUCGCAGUUUAGCGUCAAUAACGGCUUAGAAGACUGCCUUCGCCUUCGGUAUUCCUCCUGAUCUCUGCGCAUUCCACCGCUACACCAGGAAUUCUGUCUUCCCCAACCGUAUUCCAGAUAAACAGUAUCUGAUGCCUUACAGCGGGUGAGCCGCUGCCUUAAACAUCAAACUUAUCUAUCCGCCUACCUGCCCUUUACGCCUAGUAAUUCCGGACAACGCUUGCAACCCCCGUGUUACCGCGGCUGCUGGCACGGAGUUAGCCGUUGCUUAUUCAUAUGCUAAUAUCUCUCUCCUUAAACUAUUCACCUAAGAAGCAUUGCUCACAUAUAAAAGAACUUUACACCCCGAAGGGCUUCUUCGUUCACGCGGCGUCGCACUAUCAGACUUUCGUCCAUUGUAGACUAUUCUCGACUGCAGCCCCCCGUAGG
rnacentral:rRNA from 1 species